UCUGGACUGCUGUGUUGGUGACUGCCUUUCACAGUUUUCUGAUCUGACUCCCUUUCGACACGGGGAGUCUUCAGCGACGGCAACGUAGACCGGCUUCAUUGCCGGAAACGAAGCCCCGCCCCUGACUCCCCUUCUGGUUCAUCCAGGUCGAACACUGGGGCAAGACGGCACGGCGGUCCACCC
rfam:Cyanobium gracile PCC 6307, complete genome.